rnacentral:rRNA from 1 species
UACGGGGGGAGCAAGCGUUGUUCGGAUUUACUGGGCGUAAAGGGCGCGUAGGCGGUCGUGACAAGUCACUUGUGAAAUCUCCGGGCUUAACUCGGAACGGUCAAGUGAUACUGUCGGACUAGAGUACAGAAGGGGCAACUGGAAUUCUCGGUGUAGCGGUGAAAUGCGUAGAUAUCAGGAGGAACACCGGUGGCGAAGGCGGGUCUCUGGGCCGUAACUGACGCUGAGGAGCGAAAGCGUGGGGAGCGAACAGG